rnacentral:rRNA from 1 species
AGAUUGAACGCUGGCGGCAUGCCUAACACAUGCAAGUCGAGCGGCAGCGCGGGGGCGACCCUGGCGGCGAGCGGCGGACGGGUGAGUAAGGCAUCGGAAUCUGCCCUGAUGUGGGGGAUAACGUAGGGAAACUUACGCUAAUACCGCAUACGACCGAGAGGUGAAAGCGGGGGACCGAAAGGCCUCGCGCAGCAGGAUGAGCCGAUGUCCGAUUAGCUAGUUGGUGGGGUAACGGCCUACCAAGGCGACGAUCGGUAGCUGGUCUGAGAGGAUCGAUCCAGCCACGACUGGGACUGAGGACCACGGCCCACGACGUCCGUACGGAGGCAGC